AGACAAACAAUCUAAAUCUGAGACUGUAUAUGAUAUGUAUAAUUAU
rnacentral:guide_RNA from 1 species